rnacentral:rRNA from 1 species
CCUACGGGUGGCUGCAGUGGGGAAUAUUGGACAAUGGGCGCAAGCCUGACCCAGCAACGCCGCGUGGAGGAAGAAGGCUUUCGGGGUGUAAACUUCUUUUCUGAGGGACGAAGAAAGUGACGGUACCUCAGGAAUAAGCCACGGCUAACUACGUGCGAGCAGCCGCGGUAAUACGUAGGUGGCAAGCGUUAUCCGGAUUUAGUGGGUGUAAAGGGCGUGUAGGCGGGAAAGCAAGUCAGAUGUGAAAACUCAGGGCUCAACCCUGAGCCUGCAUUUGAAACUGUUUUGCUUGAGUGCUGGAGAGGCAAUCGGAAUUCCGGGUGUAGCGGUGAAAUGCGUAGAUAGACGGAGGAACACCAGUGGCGAAGGCGGACUGCUGGACAGUAACUGACGCUGAGGCGCGAAAGCGUGGGGAGCAAACAGGAUUAGAUACCCGGGUAGUC